AGGCUCCUGAAUGAUGUAAGCAUUUGUUGUCCCUGUCCUUAAAUAACUACAGAACAGAGCCAAAUGGGUUUUCUCUCCAACAGAUGGGCUGCUGACAGGUGCUGCUGGAGGCUGAGAGAUGGAAAACCAAGGAUGCCUUGACAUGGUCUCUCACUAGCUUGAAGAGAAAAAAGCAGGAUCCAGUCUUUUGUUAUUUACUGAUGUCACUGCAGCCUGGGAGAGAAAUCAACACAGUCAUGAAUUAUGGACCAUGCUGGUAGGACAUUUCAUUCUGUUUGAUUUAGUGAGAAAAAAAUCUCAGAUAACUAAAGAUGAGUUCAAGCU